GCAUUGGUGGUUCAGUGGUAGAAUUCUUCGCCUGCCACGCGGGAGGCCCGGGUCCGAUUCCCGGCCAAUGCA